rnacentral:rRNA from 1 species
AUUGAACGCUGGCGGCAGGCCUAACACAUGCAAGUCGAACGAGUGGCGGACGGGUGAGUAAUGUCUGGGAAACUGCCUGAUGGAGGGGGAUAACUACGGGAAACGGUAGAUAAUACCGCAUAACAUCAGAUGUGCCCAGAUGGGAUUAGCUCGUUUGUGGGGUAACGGCUCAUCAAGGCGACGAUCCCUAGCUGGUCUGAGAGGGUGACCAGCCACACUGAGACUGAUACACGGCCCAGACUCCUACGGGAGGCAGCAGUGGGGAAUAUUGCACAAUGGGCGCAAGCCUGAUGCAGCCAUGCCGCGUGUAUGAAGAAGGCCUUCGGGUUGUAAAGUACUUUCAUCGGGGAGGCGUUACCCACAGAAGAAGCACCGGCUAACUCCGUGCCAGCCGCCGCGGUAAUUC